rnacentral:rRNA from 1 species
GAUGAACGCUGGCGGCGUGCUUAACACAUGCAAGUCGAACGGAACUACUCCAAUGAGAGUCUUCGGAAAGGAUUUGGUUUAGUUUAGUGGCGGACGGGUGAGUAACGCGUGGGUAACCUGCCCUAUACAGGGGGAUAACAGUUGGAAACGACUGUUAAUACCGCAUAAGCGCACAGGAGCGCAUGCUCCGGUGUGAAAAACUCCGGCGGUAUAGGAUGGACCCGAGUCUGAUUAGCUGGUUGGCGGGGUAACGGCCCACCAAGGCGACGAUCAGUAGCCGGGCUGGGAAGGGGAAAGGCCACAUUUGGGCUGCGGCACGGCCCCAACUGCUACGGGGGGCAGGAGUGGGGGAUAUUGCGCAAUGGGGGAAACCCUGGUGCCGCGGCGCCGGGGGAGCGGAGAAGUAGCUCGGUAAGUAAAGCCCUAUCAGCAGGGGAGAAAAUGACGGUAACUGGCUAAGAAGCCCCGGCUAACUACGUG